UCGGGGGAGGGAGCGGAGCCCGCGGAGCGCCGGAUCCCCGCGCGCAGCGAGUCGCCUGGGAAGGUCGGGGCGCGCGGCGGGACGCUGGAGGCUCGGAAAGCGCUGAGCCGGGCUCUCUCGGAAAUGCGGAUAUUGUCUUUCCGCUCCUGGAAAUCGGGGUCACGCCUCCCAGUUAGGGUUUGUGGUGAUCAAUUGUAAGAAUAAAGAAGCCUUGAGACCGGCUGGGAGUGGACUUCUUUGCUACACGCGUGAUCCUGGGGAGUAUUCCAGAGUCAGUGACCAGCUUGACACCAUUUGACUGAUGACCCCUUGGAGAAAAUUUGUCCCUUUUGAGAUGAAAAGGAUCUCUGAUGCGUGGUAUUGUUCCUUAGGAUGACUGCUGUCCCAUGAAAGCUGCCUGUGGAUACCUGGGGAGAAGAGCAGCAAUUCAUGCAAAGCGCAGCUGGAACAGAAAUUGGUUCCAGACAUGAAUGGAUACAGCAUGAGAUGGAUUCAGCUGCAGUUUGGGGCCCAGAGAGCAUCAAAACUGCAAUCUUAAUGUGAAAGCACAUUAAUUGGUAUAAUCAGCCAGAUAAUAAUGCAUAGUAGACAAGAAAACUGAGUUUUCAUGAGCAUAGCAGUGGUAACUAUUGCUUAGUAAAUUGUCUGUGUGUGUGCGUGAAGAGACAGGGAGAGGAGGGUCUGGGGGAGGGGCAAGAAGGGAAAAGGAGAGGUAGGGAAAGAGAUUAACACAACAGCAGGGUCUAUUCAUGAAGAAAGCUAGACGGAAACUGAACUCAGAUAGGCGCAUUAAUCCACAUGGGUUGUCUUUGCUGUCCUAGCCAUCAACACCCAGGAUUCACCAUGUCAGGCAGGCUGGGGAACAAGACUUCCCUGCCACCAGGGAUCCCACCUGCCACCAUUACACAGGAUUCUAAGCAUGCCAGAGGAAGAGGCUAGGAAGUCGAAGACACUGUGGGUGUCUCCAACCCAGCAAAGAGUUGAUCUUGAGUUUGCCGGAGAGGGUCCCAGUUUAGGGAGCUGAAAUAGUUAAGGUGGGAAAGCUAAAAACACUAAUGUCCUUUGAGUGCAAGUCUCUGAAUUGUUUUCAGAUAUUAUUUAUUGUAUCUGAAAAAUCCAUACAAACAGAUUCGUCACUAGAAACUGCUUGUAUUAUUUCUUUAUAUUUGUUUCUGAUUUUCAGUUUUGCUGAUGAGGUAUUUGAGAAACUAACUUCAGGAUUCUUUGCCUCCUCCUGAUGUAAUUACCGUGUUUGAAUAAUGUAUUUUGUCCAAUAAUGUAUUUGAAUAAUGUAUAGUGUCCAAACACUUUUUAAAAAUAUACUAGAUUAAUGAGUUAAUUUGUUAAUAUGUUAAUGUUUUGGAUAUGAAUCAUAUCCAACAAAGUAGACUUUGAGUUUUCUUCUCUGUAUUGUCCUAGCACCUAUGUGAUAAUAUGCAUUUCUUGCCAACAGAUAGGCUUGAUACAUCAUAAAGUAUCAGCUAAAUCAUUCCUAAAAAAGUAUCUUGCUAAAAUUUGAAACUAACAAUAAACAUAUGAAUAAAUAUAUUUAACCCAGUA